GAAUCUACCAAAAGGACCGGGACAACCACUGGAGACGGUGGCUAAUACCGGAUGAGCCGCAACGUAAAAAGGGAAACCUGCCUUUUGAAGAGCUCGCGUCUGAUUAGCUAGUUGGUAGGGUAAAAGCCUACCAAGGCAUCGAUCAGUAGCUGGUCUGAGAGGAUGACCAGCCACACUGGGACUGAGACACGGCCCAGACUCCUACGGGAGGCAGCAGUGGGGAAUUUUCCGCAAUGGGCGAAAGCCUGACGGAGCAAGACCGCGUGAGGGAAGAAGGCUCUUGGGUCGUAAACCUCUUUUAUCAGGGAAGAAAAAAAUGACGGUACCUGAAGAAUCAGCCUCGGCUAACUCCGUGCCAGCAGCCGCGGUAAUACGGAGGAGGCAAGCGUUAUCCGGAAUUAUUGGGCGUAAAGCGUCCGCAGGUGGCUUAUCAAGUCUGCUGUCAAAGAGUGGGGCUUAACCCCAUUAAGGCAGUGGAAACUGAGAAGCUAGAGUGCCGUAGGGGUAGAGGGAAUUCCCGGUGUAGCGGUGAAAUGCGUAGAGAUCGGGAAGAACAUCGGUGGCGAAAGCGCUCUACUGGACGGCAACUGACACUCAGGGACGAAAGCUAGGGGAGCG
rnacentral:rRNA from 1 species